AUUGAACGCUGGCGGCAUGCCUUACACAUGCAAGUCGAACGGCAGCACGGGUGCUUGCACCUUGUGGCGAGUGUCUCACGGGUGAUUAAUACAUCGGAACAUGUCCUGUCGUGGGGGAUAUCCCUGCGACAGCCGGAUUAAUACCGCAUACGAUCUACGGUUGAAAGCGGGGGACCUUCGGGCCUCGCGCUAUAUGGUUGGCCGAUGGCUGAUUAGCUAGUUGGUGGGGUAAAGGCCUACCAAGGCGACGAUAAGUAGCUGGUCUGAGAGGACGACCAGCCACACUGGGACUGAGAAACGGCCCAGACUCCUACGGGAGGCAGCAGUGGGGAAUUUUGGACAAUGGGCGAAGGCCUGAUCCAGCAAUGCCGCGUGUGUGAAGAAGGACUUCGGGUUGUAAAGCACUUUUGUACGGAAAGAAAUCCUUGGCCCUAAUACGGGCGGGGGAUGACGGUACCGGAAGAAUAAGCACCGGCUAACUACGUG
rnacentral:rRNA from 1 species